UACAGAGGUCCCGAGCGUUGUUCGGAUUCAUUGGGCGUAAAGGGUGCGUAGGCGGUUUGCUAAGUUUGAUGUGAAAUCCCGGGGCUCAACCCUGGAAUUGCAUUGAAUACUGGCGGACUAGAGUACUGGAGAGGAAACUGGAAUUUACGGUGUAGCAGUGAAAUGCGUAGAGAUCGUAAGGAAGACCAGUGGCGAAGGCGAGUUUCUGGACAGUAACUGACGCUGAGGCACGAAGGCCAGGGGAGCAAACGGG
rnacentral:rRNA from 1 species